rnacentral:rRNA from 1 species
GCCUCAGUAACGGCGAGUGAAGCGGCAACAGCUCAAAUUUGAAAUCUGGUCCUUGCGGCCCGAGUUGUAAUUUGCAGAGGAUGCUUUUGGCGCGGUGCCUUCCAAGUUCCCUGGAACGGGACGCCUUAGAGGGUGAGAGCCCCGUACGGUUGGACACCAAGCCUUUGUAAAGCUCCUUCGACGAGUCGAGUAGUUUGGGAAUGCUGCUCUAAAUGGGAGGUAUAUUUCUUCUAAAGCUAAAUACCGGCCAGAGACCGAUAGCGCACAAGUAGAGUGAUCGAAAGAUGAAAAGCACUUUGAAAAGAGGGUUAAACAGCACGUGAAAUUGUUAAAAGGGAAGCGCUUGUGACCAAGACUUGCGCCCGGUGAAUCACCCAGCUCUCGCGGCUGGGGCACUUUGCCGGCUCAAGGCCAAGCAUCAGCUUGCCGUCGGGGACAAAAGCUUCGGGAACGUAGCUCUCUUCGGGGAGUGUUAUAGCCCGUUGCAUAAUACCCUUCGGCGGGCUGAG